UACGUAGGUGGCAAGCGUUAUCCGGAAUUAUUGGGCGUAAAGAGCGCGCAGGUGGUUAAUUAAGUCUGAUGUGAAAGCCCACGGCUUAACCGUGGAGGGUCAUUGGAAACUGUGCGGCUUGAGUGUCGGAGAGGCAAGUGGAAUUCCUAGUGUAGCGGUGAAAUGCGUAGAUAUUAGGAGGAACACCAGUGGCGAAGGCGGCUUGCUGGACGAUGACUGACGUUGAGGCUCGAAAGCGUGGGGAGCAAACAGG
rnacentral:rRNA from 1 species